UUGCUCUAGUGGUUGCUACUGCGACUCAAUGAGUGAAGUCGUAAAAAUUUUCAACACCUCUUAUGUCAAACGAAGAUGUCGCCUAACAUGCUCCCCUCCAGUGUGCUUCCUUAAGUUGAACUUUGGCUACGCAGAGACGCAAGAAGGCUAUAUCCAACAGAUUCAAGCGACAAUGGCAAUGCUCAAGCAAUCAAAGAGGUGGCAUCCUGAAGAGAAAACUAAACGAUUUCAACUUGGAACAGCAGGAAAUUUUCAUUUAUAGAAGAAUCACACCCC
rnacentral:lncRNA from 1 species